CCGCCCGUCGCUCCUACCGAUU
rnacentral:siRNA from 1 species